GAUGAACGCUGGCGGCGUGCCUAAUACAUGCAAGUCGAGCGAACGGACGAGAAGCUUGCUUCUCUGAUGUUAGCGGCGGACGGGUGAGUAACACGUGGAUAACCUACCUAUAAGACUGGGAUAACUUCGGGAAACCGGAGCUAAUACCGGAUAAUAUUUUGAACCGCACGGUUCAAAAGUGAAAGACGGUCUUGCUGUCACUGAUAGAUGGAUCCGCGCUGCAUUAGCUAGUUGGUAAGGUAACGGCUUACCAAGGCAACGAUGCAUAGCCGACCUGAGAGGGUGAUCGGCCACACUGGAACUGAGACACGGUCCAGACUCCUACGGGAGGCAGCAGUAGGGAAUCUUCCGCAAUGGGCGAAAGCCUGACGGAGCAGCGCCGCGUGAGUGAUGAAGGUCUUCGGAUCGUAAAACUCUGUUAUUAGGGAAGAACAUAUGUGUAAGUAACUGUGCACAUCUUGACGGUACCUAAUCAGAAAGCCACGGCUAACUACGUG
rnacentral:rRNA from 1 species